rnacentral:rRNA from 1 species
CCUACGGGGGGCAGCAGUGAGGAAUAUUGGUCAAUGGCCGAGAGGCUGAACCAGCCAAGUCGCGUGAGGGAAGACGGCCCUACGGGUUGUAAACCUCUUUUGUCGGGGAGCAAAGAGAGUCACGGGUGACUCAUUGAGAGUACCCGAAGAAAAAGCAUCGGCUAACUCCGUGCCAGCAGCCGCGGUAAUACGGAGGAUGAGAGCGUUCUCCGGAUUUAUGGGGUUUAAAGGGUGCGCAGGCGGAGGUGCAAGUCAGCGGUCAAAUUGCGGGGCCAAACCCCGUACUGCCGUUGAAACGGAAUCCCUUGAGUGCGAGAGAAGUAUGCGGAAUGCGGGGUGUAGCGGUGAAAUGCAUAGAGAUCACGCAGAACUCCGAUUGCGAAGGAAGAAUACCGGCGCGCAACUGACGCUCAUGCACGAAAGCGUGGGUAUCGAACAGGAUUAGAUACCCGAGUAGUC